rnacentral:rRNA from 1 species
GUCUCCUGAAGGAACGUUGAAGACGAUGACGUUGAUAGGCCGGGUGUGUAAGCGCAGCGAUGCGUUGAGCUAACCGGUACUAAUGAACCGUGAGGCUUAACCUU